rnacentral:rRNA from 1 species
UACGGAGGGAGCUAGCGUUGUUCGGAAAUACUGGGCGUAAAGAGCUCGUAGGCGGUCUGUCGCGUCUGCUGUGAAAACUCAGGGCUUAACCCUGAGCUUGCAGUGGGUACGGGCAGACUAGAGUGCGGUAGGGGAGACUGGAAUUCCGUGGUGUAGCGGUGAAAUGCGCAGAUAUCAGGAGGAACACCGGUGGCGAAGGCGGGUCUCUGGGCCGUAACUGACGCUGGAGGAGCGGAAAGCAUGGGGAGCGAACAGGA